GUCGCUACUACCGAUUGGAUGGUUUAGUGAGAUCCUUGGAUUGGUCCCGGUGCGGCUUCUGGUCGCGCCGGAGUGCCGAAAAGAAUGUCGAACUUGAUCAUCUAGAGGAAGUAA
rnacentral:rRNA from 1 species